rnacentral:lncRNA from 1 species
UUUCUCCCUUUCACACCAUUCCUUCCAACUUCUACUUUCCCGGCGAGCCACGGGGAUGUGGCUUUCUAUCUGUCCAGCAGCUCAGCUUGCAAUGCUUUGGGCGAGAUAAAACUUCCUGCCCCUUGUCUGAAUCUGCAGGAUUGGGGCAGUUGAAGGCAGAUGGCUCCCGGCAACCGUCCCUGCAGAGCCUUAAGCACACACUGAAGAGCAUGGUACCCGGCCCGGAGGAUGGACGGUGGAGCGAGGUUCGGGUGGGCAAAAAAGCCAGACACGGAGUGGCCUCGCUCCGGGGCAACCGGACAUAACUGGAAUAGAAACCUGGGUGGACUGUGCAGCCAGACAGCGCCGCCCCACCUCCGCUCACGCAGCCUCUGCCGCCCCCUGCCGGCUGCAGCUGGAGUUGCCGAAGCCACGAAGACCCCACUCCACCCCAACCCCAAGCCCAGGGCUGAGCUGAGAGUCCUGACCCCUGUUUCUGAUUUACCAAACCCACUUAAACUGCUCCAAGGACCGUGCUUGCUAGCCCAUUUACUUAAAAAAUGGACUUACAGGUCCUGCUUGGAGUUCGGAAGCAAACCAGAGACUUCCUGCUCAAAGAUUUUAAUUACUUGAGCACAAUGCUGAAGAUCUAAAUACUUAACAAAAUAUUUUGAUCUCCUAGGCAAUAUUAACCAGUUACUGGCUCUUCUCACCCACCGGGACAGUGGGAGAAAUCAGUGUGCACUAUGAACUGUGUUUAUCGGUUGGAAGAACAUGAAAUCAACUCUAUUCCCAAUUUCUUUCCGUCUGGUUGCUCCCAAUAAAGCUUUGAUUAGUGUUAAU